rnacentral:rRNA from 1 species
GACGAACGCUGGCGGCGUGCUUAACACAUGCAAGUCGAACGGAAAGGCCCUGAUUUUGUGGGGUGCUCGAGUGGCGAACGGGUGAGUAACACGUGAGUAACCUGCCCUUGACUUUGGGAUAACUUCAGGAAACUGGGGCUAAUACCGGAUAGGAGCUCCUGCUGCAUGGUGGGGGUUGGAAAGUUUCGGCGGUUGGGGAUGGACUCGCGGCUUAUCGGCUUGUUGGUGGGGUAGUGGCUUACCAAGGCUUUGACGGAUAGCCGGCCUGAGAGGGUGACCAGCCACAUUGCUACUACGUGACGGCCCAGACUCCUACGGGAGGCAGCAGUCGAAAGUAUGACACAAUGAGCGGAAGCGUGAUGCAGCAGCGCCGCGGGCGGAAAGACGGCCUUCGGGUUGUGAACCGAUUUCGCCUGUGACGAGGCGUGAGUGACGGUAAUGGGUAAAGAAGCACCGGCUAACUACGUG